rnacentral:lncRNA from 13 species
CUCUCCAUAGAUUUUCCUGCAACAGAAUUCAUUAAUUUAUCUACUUCUUCAUUCAAUGAUGAAACAAACAUUUACUGGACACCUACUAUAUGCUGACAUUGCGCUGCUGGUAUUUGGGGAUACAAGCUGGACCCAGAUGAACCAGAUCUCUUCCUUCUCUCAGAAAGUGAGCAUUCUGACAUGAGGAGAGGCAGAUUAAUGAAAUUUCUGCAAAGUUACAACUCAUAUCUGAAGGAUGAGUUAGGAAAGGGGAGAAAUGUGCUCACCUUGAUGGAAGGCACUGUGUCAUGUUUAUCUGUGUAUCUCCACCACCUAGCAUAGAGCGGGACACAGGGUGAAAAAUUCUAGGCAAAUCUCUCACACUGAAGAACCUGGAAGAGAAGAGAAACUUUCAGCAAGUGACUCAAGGACUGGGGAGAGUUUGCACAUUCAUUUCAACAAUGGUGUCAGUAGUGCCCUUCCAGACAAUUCACGUUAUGAGAGAACAGCAGGGGUUCCUACCUUCCGUUUUCUGGAGUUUUGCUGGUUCCCAUCUGUCCUCAGUCCCACCCUCCAGCAUCCCAGAGUCCCUGUGAAUCCUCCAUUCUGAGGUAAUAAACUCCCUUUUAUUAGACA